rnacentral:rRNA from 1 species
GACGAACGCUGGCGGCGUGCUUAACACAUGCAAGUCGAGCGGUAAGGCCCUUUCGGGGGUACGACGAGCGGCGAACGGGUGAGUAACACGUGGGUGACCUGCCCUCAGCUCUGGGAUAAGCCUGGGAAACCGGGUCUAAUACUGGAUAUGACUCCAUGACGCAUGUUGUGGGGUGGAAAGCCUUGUGCGGCUGAGGAUGGGCCCGCGGCCUAUCAGCUUGUUGGUGGGGUGAUGGCCUACCAAGGCGACGACGGGUAGCCGGCCUGAGAGGGCGACCGGCCACACUGGGACUGAGACACGGCCCAGACUCCUACGGGAGGCAGCAGUGGGGAAUCUUGCGCAAUGGGCGAAAGCCUGACGCAGCGACGCCGCGUGAGGGAUGACGGCCCUCGGGUUGUAAACCUCUUUCAGCUCCGACGAAGCGAGAGUGACGGUAGGAGCAGAAGAAGCACCGGCCAACUACGUGCCAGCCGCCGCCGUAAU